AUUGAACGCUGGCGGCAGGCCUAACACAUGCAAGUCGAGCGGAGCUGCGGACGGGAGAGUAGUGACUAGGAAUCUGCCUGGUUGUGGGGGAUAACGUCCGGAAACGGGCGCUAGUACCGCAUACUAUCCUAUUUGGAUAUGUCGGAUUUGCUGGUUGGUGGGGUAAAGGCCUACCAAGGCGACGAUCCGUAACUGGUCUGAGAGGAUGAUCAGUCACACUGGAACUGAGACACGGUCCAGACUCCGACGUGAGGGAGCAGGGGGGAAUAUGGGACAAUGGGCGAAAGCCUGAUCCAGCCAUGCCGCGUGUGUGAAGAAGGUCUUCGGAGUGUAAAGCACUUUAAGUUGGGAGGCGGUAUCAACAGAAUAAGCACCGGCUAACUUCGUGACAGCAGCCGCGGUAAUUC
rnacentral:rRNA from 1 species